rnacentral:misc_RNA from 1 species
GAUUUAUGAUGAUUGUUAUGAUAAAUGUCAACCAACAUUUCCCUUUCUAAGUAUGUUUGUAUUUACUUGUGUCAGGAAAUUAAGUUUUUGAUUUCAUUUUUUUUUUUUUUUUUUUUUUGCCUUUUCAUUCAUCAUUGGUGAUAGUUUAUACAUGUAUCAGUAGCACAGAUUAUUUUAGUUCAUUGUUAUUUUCCAUCUACUACCUGUACUCUUUAGUUCUUAGUUUCAGUAUAAAAGAUACAUAAUUGUUUAUCAAGGUAUAAAUGUACCUUGAGAAUACUUUACUAUGCCAAAUGAAACUUUUAAGUAAAAGUUGACAGAAAGGGAUAAUUCACAACUCUUUAACUACUCAAUAAGAAAUGUUUGUCUUCAAAAUGAGCACUGGCCUUCACAGAAAUUCUAUGUUGUACUACAGUAAUCACCAGCUGUAAAAUGUCUAUUGUAUACAACCAUACAAACAUGAAUGAUAACUGCUGUGAAUUUUAGUUUAUUUGUGUACUUUGUUGUGAUAUUUUGAGUGUUAUUCAGGGUUAUUGUAUGUAUUCAUUUCAUUGAGGAAAUCUUUUUUUUUUCAUUGUGUAUCAGUGUUUGGUGGGUUUGAUUGUCUUUGAGUGAAAUAUUCAUUCAUCAUUUUGAUUUAGGUAAUUGCAAUAUUAGAUAGAAAAUACACCCCUUCAACGUUAACAAAAAAUGUACAAGUCUUUUCUUGUUCACUUCUGUAAGACCAGUUCAAGCUAUCAUUUAGUGUAGAAAAAUAAGGUACAAGUACAUACACAAUUUUUUCUUCAGUACAUAUAGUUUACCAACUUUCAGUUUUACAGCGCAAGUUGUUUAUUUGUAGGGUUUUAGUAUGUUUGGUUGGUUUUUAUGAAUCAAAAUGUGGAAUGUCAUACAACAUUUGAGAUUCUUUGAAAUUACAGAGCUAGAAAAAUUUUCAUAAUGCAACAAAACUUCUUUCUAUCUUUUGCUUUUAUGGCAUAAAAUACAAUGUAUUUCAAUUGUGGAAUAUUCAAAGAUACUGAUUGCAGGUGGAUUCAUUUAAAUCUAGAACUCACAGUUGUUUAAACAAUGAUAAAAAUUCCAUAGCAUUAUGUUUAACAUGUUUUUAAAUAUUGUUAACACAGUUCAAAUGGUUUAGAUUGCUACACAAGUAAACAGAAAAUUGAAAUUUUAAGGAAAGCAGCUUACAAAAUUACAUGUAAGAUUUUGUUUUUUGUAAAUUUUCUUUACAGACAUAUAUACAGAAUGGUUUUAUGUGUCAAAGUAAAGGCUUGAUUUGAUUUG